UUAAGCGACUAAGCGUACACGGUGGAUGCCCUGGCAGUCAGAGGCGAUGAAGGACGUGCUAAUCUGCGAUAAGCGUCGGUAAGGUGAUAUGAACCGUUAUAACCGGCGAUUUCCGAAUGGGGAAACCCAGUGUGUUUCGACACACUAUCAUUAACUGAAUCCAUAGGUUAAUGAGGCGAACCGGGGGAACUGAAACAUCUAAGUACCCCGAGGAAAAGAAAUCAACCGAGAUUCCCCCAGUAGCGGCGAGCGAACGGGGAGCAGCCCAGAGCCUGAAUCAGUGUGUGUGUUAGUGGAAGCGUCUGGAAAGGCGCGCGAUACAGGGUGACAGCCCCGUACACAAAAAUGCACAUGCUGUGAGCUCGAUGAGUAGGGCGGGACACGUGGUAUCCUGUCUGAAUAUGGGGGGACCAUCCUCCAAGGCUAAAUACUCCUGACUGACCGAUAGUGAACCAGUACCGUGAGGGAAAGGCGAAAAGAACCCCGGCGAGGGGAGUGAAAAAGAACCUGAAACCGUGUACGUACAAGCAGUGGGAGCACGCUUAGGCGUGUGACUGCGUACCUUUUGUAUAAUGGGUCAGCGACUUAUAUUCUGUAGCAAGGUUAACCGAAUAGGGGAGCCGAAGGGAAACCGAGUCUUAACUGGGCGUUAAGUUGCAGGGUAUAGACCCGAAACCCGGUGAUCUAGCCAUGGGCAGGUUGAAGGUUGGGUAACACUAACUGGAGGACCGAACCGACUAAUGUUGAAAAAUUAGCGGAUGACUUGUGGCUGGGGGUGAAAGGCCAAUCAAACCGGGAGAUAGCUGGUUCUCCCCGAAAGCUAUUUAGGUAGCGCCUCGUGAAUUCAUCUCCGGGGGUAGAGCACUGUUUCGGCAAGGGGGUCAUCCCGACUUACCAACCCGAUGCAAACUGCGAAUACCGGAGAAUGUUAUCACGGGAGACACACGGCGGGUGCUAACGUCCGUCGUGAAGAGGGAAACAACCCAGACCGCCAGCUAAGGUCCCAAAGUCAUGGUUAAGUGGGAAACGAUGUGGGAAGGCCCAGACAGCCAGGAUGUUGGCUUAGAAGCAGCCAUCAUUUAAAGAAAGCGUAAUAGCUCACUGGUCGAGUCGGCCUGCGCGGAAGAUGUAACGGGGCUAAACCAUGCACCGAAGCUGCGGCAGCGACGCUUAUGCGUUGUUGGGUAGGGGAGCGUUCUGUAAGCCUGUGAAGGUGUGCUGUGAGGCAUGCUGGAGGUAUCAGAAGUGCGAAUGCUGACAUAAGUAACGAUAAAGCGGGUGAAAAGCCCGCUCGCCGGAAGACCAAGGGUUCCUGUCCAACGUUAAUCGGGGCAGGGUGAGUCGACCCCUAAGGCGAGGCCGAAAGGCGUAGUCGAUGGGAAACAGGUUAAUAUUCCUGUACUUGGUGUUACUGCGAAGGGGGGACGGAGAAGGCUAUGUUGGCCGGGCGACGGUUGUCCCGGUUUAAGCGUGUAGGCUGGUUUUCCAGGCAAAUCCGGAAAAUCAAGGCUGAGGCGUGAUGACGAGGCACUACGGUGCUGAAGCAACAAAUGCCCUGCUUCCAGGAAAAGCCUCUAAGCAUCAGGUAACAUCAAAUCGUACCCCAAACCGACACAGGUGGUCAGGUAGAGAAUACCAAGGCGCUUGAGAGAACUCGGGUGAAGGAACUAGGCAAAAUGGUGCCGUAACUUCGGGAGAAGGCACGCUGAUAUGUAGGUGAAGUCCCUCGCGGAUGGAGCUGAAAUCAGUCGAAGAUACCAGCUGGCUGCAACUGUUUAUUAAAAACACAGCACUGUGCAAACACGAAAGUGGACGUAUACGGUGUGACGCCUGCCCGGUGCCGGAAGGUUAAUUGAUGGGGUCAGCGCAAGCGAAGCUCUUGAUCGAAGCCCCGGUAAACGGCGGCCGUAACUAUAACGGUCCUAAGGUAGCGAAAUUCCUUGUCGGGUAAGUUCCGACCUGCACGAAUGGCGUAAUGAUGGCCAGGCUGUCUCCACCCGAGACUCAGUGAAAUUGAACUCGCUGUGAAGAUGCAGUGUACCCGCGGCAAGACGGAAAGACCCCGUGAACCUUUACUAUAGCUUGACACUGAACAUUGAGCCUUGAUGUGUAGGAUAGGUGGGAGGCUUAGAAGUGUGGACGCCAGUCUGCAUGGAGCCGACCUUGAAAUACCACCCUUUAAUGUUUGAUGUUCUAACGUUGACCCGUAAUCCGGGUUGCGGACAGUGUCUGGUGGGUAGUUUGACUGGGGCGGUCUCCUCCUAAAGAGUAACGGAGGAGCACGAAGGUUGGCUAAUCCUGGUCGGACAUCAGGAGGUUAGUGCAAUGGCAUAAGCCAGCUUGACUGCGAGCGUGACGGCGCGAGCAGGUGCGAAAGCAGGUCAUAGUGAUCCGGUGGUUCUGAAUGGAAGGGCCAUCGCUCAACGGAUAAAAGGUACUCCGGGGAUAACAGGCUGAUACCGCCCAAGAGUUCAUAUCGACGGCGGUGUUUGGCACCUCGAUGUCGGCUCAUCACAUCCUGGGGCUGAAGUAGGUCCCAAGGGUAUGGCUGUUCGCCAUUUAAAGUGGUACGCGAGCUGGGUUUAGAACGUCGUGAGACAGUUCGGUCCCUAUCUGCCGUGGGCGCUGGAGAACUGAGGGGGGCUGCUCCUAGUACGAGAGGACCGGAGUGGACGCAUCACUGGUGUUCGGGUUGUCAUGCCAAUGGCACUGCCCGGUAGCUAAAUGCGGAAGAGAUAAGUGCUGAAAGCAUCUAAGCACGAAACUUGCCCCGAGAUGAGUUCUCCCUGACUCCUUGAGAGUCCUGAAGGAACGUUGAAGACGACGACGUUGAUAGGCCGGGUGUGUAAGCGCAGCGAUGCGUUGAGCUAACCGGUACUAAUGAACCGUGAGGCUUAACCUU
rnacentral:rRNA from 5 species